rnacentral:rRNA from 1 species
GACGAACCGUCCAAACGUUGUUCGGAAUCACUGGGCUUAAAGGGCUCGUAGGCGGCCAACUAAGUCAGACGUGAAAUCCCUAGGCUCAACCUAGGAACUGCGUCUGAUACUGGAUGGCUUGAAUCCGGGAGAGGGAUGCAGAAUUCCAGGUGUAGCGGUGAAAUGCGUAGAUAUCUGGAGGAAUACCGGUGGCGAAGGCGGCAUCCUGGACCGGCAUUGACGCUGAGGAGCGAAAGCUAGGGGAGCAAACGGGG